rnacentral:rRNA from 1 species
UACGUAGGGUGCGAGCGUUGGCCGGAAUUAUUGGGCGUAAAGGGCUCGUAGGCGGUUUGUCACGUCGGGAGUGAAAACUCGGGGCUUAACCCCGAGCCUGCUUCCGAUACGGGCAGACUAGAGGUAUGCAGGGGGGAACGGAAUUCCUGGUGUAGCGGUGAAAUGCGCAGAUAUCAGGAGGAACACCGGUGGCGAAGGCGGUUCUCUGGGCAUUACCUGACGCUGAGGAGCGAAAGUGUGGGGAGCGAACAGG